UGCACGCCCGCCCAAGCCGAAAUAGUGAGAACCUGCAAAACCGACGCAACCUCCAUGAAGACAACGGCACUAGACACAGACGCCCUUCAGAGAGCAUGUCCUCCAAAACACCAUCCAACAAUUUCAUAUGUAACCUAUCACUAAAGAAAUCCCCCUCCCUUGGAUCCGUGUUUCUCCCAACCAUCCUAGGCUCCGGCUCCUCUUCCCGGCCCUCAUCCUGUGCACGUCGCUCGGGAUGCGGAGACGACAACCUCACUUGACCCCGAGGCAGGUCCGGCGAAGGAGAGGGGUCACCAGGCAAGGCUCGCAGAGGUGCCCUAACCUCCUGGAACGAUGCUGACCGAACAGGUACCGCAUUCGAGCCUUCGUCAUCACUCACCUCAAUGACUCGCUUCAAACGCGAGGGAACAGGAGGUUGCCUGGCAGUCUGAACAUUAGGCGGGGAACCCAUGCCCUGAAGAGGACGUCGACCAAAAUUCACUCCUCCUACCACUGACUGCCCUCCAUCCGUUCCUGGGAUCACCAACACCCUCCCUGGAUCACUUCCCUAAACUUCCUAGGCGGCUCAUCUUCUUUCGAGCUCGCCGAACACUGCGAUAUCGGUUGCUUCCCUUUACCACCGAGGUCUGCCUUCCCCUGGGUCCUCCCUUUCCUAGUCCUCUUGCGAGAGCGCGAACGUGGCCUGGCUGAAGGUCCUUCACCGAACUCCUCCUGUCUCCUCCCAACACACAAAUCCUCCCUCAGCGGCGCAACACCCAUAUCCAUAGCAAGACAUUGAUCCUUGCCCACCCGAGGGGAAGGGUAGUCCAACUUCACGGUAUCACUGCUCUGGAGCUGCGGGUACCUCUCACGCUCGACCGUACUCAUAACCGCAUCAGGUCUCCUAGGUGAGCAGCCUCUGGUCAAAGGAAGAAUGUAGGUAAGGGAAGUCGGCAAUAUGGAUCCGUUACCUUGGGAAAAGGAUUGGCUCUUAGGGCUGGGCCUAGGGGUCUGCGCCUCGAUGUCGUUGGCUGCCAGUGGUCUGCCUGAGCUGCUCUCGCGGCGAGGACGGAGCCUGCGUGCCAGUGUGCUGACGGGAUUAGAAUGUCUUAUGUCCCCACCUUUCGGGUGGGGCCGUGAGACUCUCCCUAAGCAUCAAACUGCCGACUCAGAACUGGUGCGGACAAGGGGAAUCCGACUGUUUAAUUAAAACAAAGCAUUGCGAUGGUCCCAACGGAUGUUGAUGCAAUAUGAUUUCUGCCCAGUGCUCUGAAUGUCAAAGUGAAGAGAUUGAGCCAAGCGCGGGUAAACAGCGAGCGUAACUAUGACUCUCUUAAGGUAGCCAAAUGCCUCGUCAUCUAAUUAGUGACGCACAUGAAUGGAUUAAUGAGAUUCCCACUGUCCCUAUCUACCAUCCUGCGAAACCACAGCCAAGGGAACGGGCUUGGAAGAAUCGGCGGGGRAAGAAGACCCUGUUGAGCUUGACUCUAGUUYGACUCUGUGAAAUGACUUGAGAGGUGUAGAAUAAGUGGGAGCCUUACGGCGCAAGUGAAAUACCACUACUUUCAACGUUAUUUUAUUUAUUUCGUGAGGUGGAGCCGGGGCUCUGCCUCUGCUUCUCCAUCCAAGGUGCAGGCCCUCGUGGCCUGUCCGAUCCAAGGGAAAAACAUUGUCAGGUGGGGAGUUUGGCUGGGGCGGCACAUCUGUUAGAAGAUAACGCAGGUGUCCUAAGAUGAGCUCAACGAGAACAGAAAUCUCGUGUGGGGCACAAGGGCAAAAGCUCAUUUGAUUUUGAUUUCCAGUACGAUUGAGUGCGCGAAGGAUGACUGGGAGGGGACGAGGGAAGGGACGCAUAGGCAGAUAAAGAGGAGUGGUUGGAAGCGAAGCCAGGGCAAGGCGGAGAUAUCAAUAGGAGAAGAUACGGUGCCCUUAAGCAAAGAAACCAUCGGGAAGACGAAGACUGAUAUCGCAAGCCGAGCGAACAGGAGAGCACAUGGGA
rnacentral:rRNA from 1 species